rnacentral:rRNA from 1 species
GACGAACGCUGGCGGCGUGCCUAAUACAUGCAAGUCGACAACAGCGGCGGACGGGUGAGUAACACGUAAGGAACCUACCGAUAAGCGGGGGACAACAUCCGGAAACGGGUGCUAAUACCGCAUACUUAUCGAUGGCCUUGCGGUGAAUUAGAUCGCUGGUGGGGUAACGGCCUACCAAGGCCAUGAUGCAUAGCCGACCUGAGUGGGUAACAGGCAACAGGUGGACGGAGACACGGCCCAAACGCCUACGGGAUGAAGCAGUAGGGAAUCUUCGGCAAUGAACGAAAGUCUGACCGGGCAAAGCCGCGUGAGUGAAGAAGGUUUACGGAUCGUAAAACUCUGUUGUUAGAGAAGCGGUAUCUAACCAGAAAGCCACGGCUAACUACGUGCCAGCAGCCGCGGUAAUAC